AUGCUCAUUUUGGCUGCACAUACACUAAAAUCAGAAAGAUGCAGAGGAGAUUAGCAUGACCCCUGGGCAAGGAUGACACACAACUUUAUAAAGCAUCCCAUAUUUUU
ensembl:snRNA U6 U6 spliceosomal RNA